GACGAACGCUGGCGGCGUGCUUAACACAUGCAAGUCGAACGGUGAAGCUCCAGCUUGCUGGAGUGGAUCAGUGGCGAACGGGUGAGUAACACGUGAGCAACCUGCCCCUGACUCUGGAAUAAGCGCUGGAAACGGCGUCUAAUACUGGAUACGAGAAGGGUCCGCAUGGGCACUUUCUGGAAAGUUUUUCGGUUGGGGAUGGGCUCGCGGCCUAUCAGCUUGUUGGUGAGGUAAUGGCUCACCAAGGCGACGACGGGUAGCCGGCCUGAGAGGGCGACCGGCCACACUGGGACUGAGACACGGCCCAGACUCCUACGGGAGGCAGCAGUGGGGAAUAUUGCACAAUGGGCGAAAGCCUGAUGCAGCGACGCCGCGUGGGGGAUGACGGCCUUCGGGUUGUAAACCUCUUUCAGCAGGGAAGAAGCGAAAGUGACGGUACCUGCAGAAGAAGCACCGGCUAACUACGU
rnacentral:rRNA from 1 species